rnacentral:rRNA from 1 species
AAACGGUAGCUAAUACCGCAUAACGUCGCAAGACCAAAGAGGGGGACCUUCGGGCCUCUUGCCAUCGGAUGUGCCCAGAUGGGAUUAGCUAGUAGGUGGGGUAACGGCUCACCUAGGCGACGAUCCCUAGCUGGUCUGAGAGGAUGACCAGCCACACUGGAACUGAGACACGGUCCAG